UCCUUGGUUUAACCCACUUUCAGCCUGGCGCAUUAGGGGGCGCUAGUAUAAAUAGUGGCCAUUUGAGCGUCCCUGGAUCGCUUACCUGUGAUCUCCCCUUUGGUCACCUGACUUCCCUUUGGUGUUGCCGAGAUCAUUUGCGGGUUACACUUCUGAAGCCUCCAUCGCGGCUGGUCGUAGCUGUAGAAGCCUCCUUUGAGCCAUUCUGCUCACGUUUUAUGACGCGGCUUACUCGGUACGUAAUCCACGUUUGUUACGAUCUCUGCCUUUUAUUGUUCUUUUAUAGUAAUUACUUAUUAUGCUUUGUAGGAAGUGUGGGCCUUAGUUUUACGCCACGCUACGCAAACUGAAGUGCUGUUGCUUUGUUUUACUUUGUUUUUACUGUCUGUUCCGGCUGCGAAGUUUCUUUCCUACUGCUGCCAGCCUUUAAAGUGGACGUCGGCGUGGACAACGGCCAUAUGCAUGCCACGCGGGUCGGCUGGCGUGCAUACUGAUUGACUGACUGGAUAACUAACUUAUAGUCGUGCAGACGGCAAGUUGGAGCAAUACGGCGAUUCCGUUUGCUCCAUAUUUUAGAGUUUUAUCUAGAUUGUAUGUUGUUUUUCUGUUGUUUUGAUUUGUAGUUUGGAUUUUUGUUACGCCACUGGUGGGAGGCCCUUUUUCUAGCUGUAGAUCACCAGUGUGGUCCUGCA